CACGUAGGGCGCAAGCGUUGUCCGGAAUUAUUGGGCGUAAAGAGCUCGUAGGCGGUCUGUUACGUCUGCUGUGAAAACCCGGGGCUUAACCCUGGGCUUGCAGUGGAUACGGGCAGACUAGAGGCAGGUAGGGGAGAAUGGAAUUCCCGGUGUAGCGGUGAAAUGCGCAGAUAUCAGGAGGAACACCGGUGGCGAAGGCGGGUCUCUGGGCCGAAACUGACGCUGAGGAGCGAAAGCGUGGGGAGCAAACAGG
rnacentral:rRNA from 1 species